rnacentral:rRNA from 1 species
CCCUUAGAUGUUCUGGGCCGCACGCGCGCUACACUGACACAUGCAUCGAGCAUAACCUUGGGAGGUAUCCCUAGGUAAACUUUUCAACGUGUGUCGUGAUAGGGAUAGAUGGUUGCAAUUUUCCAUCUUAAACGAGGAAUUCCUAGUAAACGCAAGUCAUCAACUUGCAUUGAUUUCGUCCCUGCCCUUUGUACACACCGCCCGUCGCUACUACCGAUUGAAUGGCUUAGUGAGCACCACGGAUCUUCCCGAGUUGGGGCAACCCUCUCGGUGUGGAGAAGUGGGACAAACUUGAUCAUUUAGAGGAAGUAAAAGUCGUAACA